GUGUCAGCCGCCGCGGUAAUACGGAGGGAGCUAGCGUUAUUCGGAAUUACUGGGCGUAAAGCGCACGUAGGCGGCUUUGUAAGUUAGAGGUGAAAGCCUGGAGCUCAACUCCAGAAUUGCCUUUAAGACUGCAUCGCUUGAAUCCAGGAGAGGUGAGUGGAAUUCCGAGUGUAGAGGUGAAAUUCGUAGAUAUUCGGAAGAACACCAGUGGCGAAGGCGGCUCACUGGACUGGUAUUGACGCUGAGGUGCGAAAGCGUGGGGAGCAAACAGGAUUAGAAACCCUGGUAGUCC
rnacentral:rRNA from 1 species